rnacentral:rRNA from 1 species
UGACCGCUGGCGGUAGGCCUAACACAUGCACGUCGACCGGCAGCACAGUAAGAGCUUGCUCUUACGGGUGGCGAGUGGCGGACGGGUGAGGAAUACAUCGGAAUCUACUUUUUCGUGGGGGAUAACGUAGGGAAACUUACGCUAAUACCGCAUACGACCUACGGGUGAAAGCAGGGGAUCUUCGGACCUUGCGCGAUUGAAUGAGCCGAUGUCGGAUUAGCUAGUUGGCGGGGUAAAGGCCCACCAAGGCGACGAUCCGUAGCUGGUCUGAGAGGAUGAUCAGCCACACUGGAACUGAGACACGGUCCAGACUCCUACGGGAGGCAGCAGUGGGGAAUAUUGGACAAAGGGCGCAAGCCUGAUCCAGCCAUACCGCGUGGGUGAAGAAGGCCUUCGGGUUGUAAAGCCCUUUUGUUGGGAAAGAAAAGCAGCAGGUUAAUACCCCGCUGUUCUGACGGUACCCAAAGAAUAAGCACCGGCUAACUUCGUG